rnacentral:rRNA from 1 species
AGAGUUUGAUCCUGGCUCAGAACGAACGCUGGCGGCGUGUUUAAGACAUGCAAGUCGAACGGGGAGAAUGAGUAGCAAUACGAUUUCUUCUAGUGGCGCACGGGUGAGUAACACGUGAAUUACAUGCCCUUCAGUGGGGAAUAGCCCAGGGAAACUUGGAUUAAUACCUCAUGGUCUCGCAAGAGUAAAGGCGGCGCAAGCUGCCGCUGAAGGAUUGGUUCGCGCCCUAUCAGCUAGUUGGUGAGGUAAUGGCUCACCGAGGCGACGACGGGUAGCCGGUCUGAGAGGACGAUCGGCCACACUGGAACUGAGACACGGUCCAGACACCUACGGGUGGCAGCAGUCGAGAAUAAUUCACAAUGGGGGAAACCCUGAUGGUGCAACGCCGCGUGGAGGAUGAAGGUCUUCGGAUUGUAAACUCCUGUCAUCCGGGAGUAAGACCUGGCGGUGAAUAGCCGACAGGGUUGAUAGUACCGGAAGAGGAAGGGACGGCUAACUUCGUGCCAGCAGCCGCGGUAAUACGAAGGUCCCAAGCGUUGUUCGGAAUCACUGGGCGUAAAGGGUGCGUAGGCGGUUUGGUAAGUCAGAUGUGAAAUCCCGGNG